GCCCCUGUUUCGCCGCCGUAUCUGUGCUUCUACCUGCGAGCGAGGACAGCGUGGGGUGCCUCCCGGAAGGCGCCAUGGAAACCCCUGGAUCCCGGCCAUCUCCAAAACUAAGGGCUUUCCUGAAAACUUCACACUCAGGAAUCCAUGACGUCGCCUCCUCCGCGGCCAGCCAGCUCCGUGGCUCCUUCGGCCGCCAAGCACAAGUCCCUGAUUGUUCGGGGCAGAGAAAAAGUCAGGGAGAGGGAGGCGAGCAGGGGUGGGGGCGCGGCCCGCCAGGCCCUGCAGGAGCUGCGUGCAAACUCGCAGACAGCCACCGCCUCCCUGCUGCAGCUUUGCCUGAAUCCAACCUCCUGACACCCCACUUUCUGAGAGGGUCCCCCUCGGAGAAAGCUCCCCAGGAUUUCAGCCUGCACCCCGGGGUUGUCCAGGAUCCCUUGGACGCUUGCCCAGGGGUGUCUCCUUAGGCCCUCAGUGCCUCUGAGUGCCCAGACUCUUGUGUGUUCAGGGAUGAAGAGGAGCAAGACGAAGGAAAAAGAAAUAAAUAACAGCGCCUGUGCCAACUGU